GACGAACGCUGGCGGCGUGCUUAACACAUGCAAGUCGAACGGUGAACGAGGGAGCUUGCUCCCUCCGGGUCAGUGGCGAACGGGUGAGUAACACGUGAGCAAUCUGCCCCGAACUCUGGGAUAAGCGUUGGAAACGACGUCUAAUACCGGAUACGACGCGGUAGGGCAUCCUCCCCGCGUGGAAAGAACUUCGGUUCGGGAUGAGCUCGCGGCCUAUGAGCUUGUUGGUGAGGUAACGGCUCACCAAGGCGACGAUGGGUAGCCGACCUGAGAGGGUGAUGGGCCACACUGGAACGGAGACACGGUCCAGAGGCCUACGGGAGGCAGCAGUGGGGAAGCUGCGGCAAAGGGCGAAAGCAUGACGGAGAAACGCCGCGUGGGUGAUGAAGGUCUGCGGGUCGUAAAGCUCUGUUAUUAGGGAAGAACAAAUGUAGAGGAAAAUAUGGACGUCUUGACGGUACCUAAACAGAAAGCCACGGCUAACUACGUG
rnacentral:rRNA from 1 species